ensembl:lncRNA
AGACUUCAUAGGACUAUGGCAGCAGAUACAGUUUGUGACAGAGGGGUACUUUUCUGUACUUUUCCAUUACAUUUUAGAUGCUUGUCCCAUAUAUGUGAGCAACUUGGUCUUUUAUGGUGAAAGAGCAGGAAGGCCCAAUGCAAGAUCAAUGAUUGUCAUGGCUUAUAUCAGAGGAAGGUCUGCUCUAUGUUCUGUCAUUAUUUCCUUUCCUAUCUUAACUCCUUGUGCACAAAAGUAUGGGAGUAUAAAACAACAUUGCCUUUCAUGGGCUACCUGGCAUUUGCAACCUUCCUAAGAUUCCAAGUCUUAGGAAUGUGGUUCAAGUGUAAGGAAAAAGUGAACAAUGGAAGGGUUUCAAAUUAUUGGACUCUUCUCUUCCGGAUAUUGUGCCUUCAUUUCUAUUUUAAAUGGCUAUUUCUUCUUUUUAUUUUUCAGCUAAGGGGGAACAGAAUAAUGGCAAGUCCCUUUAAUACUUUACACCUUGAAUUUUGUCACGUUUCUUCUGUUUCUAUAUCAUUUGUCUUUGAUGCUCCAUGAUCAUCUUUCUCAACUCCAACCUACACAUAUAACGUCACAUCAUAAUUUUUUCAUUUCUUCAUUGUUAUUUUAGCUAAAAUUUAUCAUCUUCAUAUGUUAUUCAAUGCCCUAUUUUCCUUUGAUUUAUUCUAGCCUUGCUACUCAUAUAGAAAUUUCCUUUUUCUCAAAUAUAUUCUAAUGAUAACUAACUUGUAAAAUUUUGCUAUUUUUAAGUUCUUUGUCCAAGAUGGUUGCACUCAUUUGACUGAGAAGCCCAUAAACUGCCAAUUAAUAGUUCACUUCUUUUCUUUUCAUCUGACUUUGUGAAAGUAAGCGUCAUUGAGGUAAAGUUAAUUAAACUUCCAUAAAAUACGAAUACACAUUAAUUAACCAAGAAAAUGAUGGGAAUAGAGGCACCCAUCAACCUGACCUGAACUGACUUGAAUGUCCUAUAAAAGCAGUAGUUCAGGAUUCUGUAAUUCAGUGUCUGGUGAGUUAAUAUACCAACGCUACCACUCUAGGAACAAAGAAUAUAUUUAGGAGAAGUCAGAUGAGUUAUAACCAUAAAAAACUGAGGAGUAAAAGACUACAUACUUUCAAAAGAAAUCAUGAACAAAUUUAUCAGGUCCAUAACCAGAAAUAGUAUUUCUCGUUUUCUCAUUAAGAACAUGUAUUUGUUUUCCCCUCUUCCUUUAUCGCACACUAUUCAGUUCUCAAAAGGGAGCUUUCAGACAUGGAAUGUGUGCACAUAUUUGUUUAUGUGUGUAAGUGUGUGUGUGUUUGUAUCUGUCUGCAUCUUGAUAAUUUAAUUUUAUGGGCAGAUCUUACAAUAAAUCUGAAUUUCAUUUAUGUUUCUUUCCAAUGAAAUUUACCUUGGCUUUUCAUUUUAUUUUACAGAUGAACAUCAGAAAAAGGAUGAUGUUCCUGAAAAAAUAUUUGUACCUCAGGAAAGAAAUGUUACGAAUAAACGUCAAGAAGAAAAGGGUAAGUCCCAUGAUUGCAUUUCCUUGUAUACCGAAACAUGGUUUCAUCUGUUACUUGUGCCUUUCCCUUCACUUGCAAAGAUUAUAGUUCUCAACUCCAACAUCUGCAUAUUUUACAUGCUCUUCUGUCAAAUCUGAAUCUUAUCUUUACAACGGUAGGUUUCCACUUUUAUUCGCUAUUGAAUUAUCCCAAAAUAUUGCUCUUUGACUAGUCUUAUAUUUGCAAUAUAUGCAGACAUUCCUUCUCAGUCAAGGUGCUUUACUGGUGCUUCAUUUAUCACAUAAUAUUGGACUGUAACCUGGACUGUUUGAAUGUUAUAUGUCACAGAAACACUGAAAUCUUUUAUAUAUUCUCUUUUUUUUAAUCUUUUCAUCUUUUCUAGCAUAGCACCCACGGCAUAUGGAGGUUCCCAGGCUAGGGGUCCAAUUGGAGCUACAGCUGCUGGCCUACUCCAGAGCCACAGCAAUGCGGGAUCCGAGCCUCGUCUGCAACCUACACCGCAGUUUAUGGCAACGAAGGAUCCUUAACCCACUGAGUGAGGCCAGGGAUUGAAUCUGCACCCUCAUGGAUCCUAGUCAGAUUCGUUAACUGAGCCAAUACGGGAACUCCAUGAAAUCUUUUGUAUAUUCUUAAACAGUAUGGAAUUAUUUGCUUUAGCGGACACUUAACUUGUUUAAACUCAAACUGCAAGCACUACAAUGCCUGUGGUGGUUGACAAAGCACUCUCAGUUUGGGUUUUAUUAUAAGUCAUCCCCAUAAGCUCAUGGCUGAAAUUCAAAGGGAUUUAGGACAAGUUCGUAUGUCGCUCUGGGGUUCUCUUUUUUGGUUCUCCUCUCCUGCAUUCCUCUUUCAUUCUCCUGUGUUCUUAGUUCUUUCUCUGGUCCCUAGAUACAAAAAUAAGAGACUUUCUAUUAGACUAUAUGCAGCAUUGCUAACUGGGUGCCCUCAGGGUAAGCACACGACAAUUAGGAAGCCUGAUUUAUCCUGGUCACUUGCUUCACGGUUUGACUCGCCAACAAAUUUGGUCUGCAUUUGUUCACUCUCCAGGGCUUCCAGUAGUUGCUUCGUAUAUUUCAUCCAAAGAUUAUGGUUACCUUCUACGAGGAGGGUCAAUUUGUUAGCAGGCUAAUUUCUCCCUAUAGAGGCAAACUCUUAGGGCUUAAAAACAUACCAGCCCAUUUUAAUAUCUGUCAAAUUUAUUUCCUAAAUGUUCACAGUGAUUUACCCUCUUGGCAGGAUAUGAAAAUUCCAGUUACUCCACAUGUUCACCAAAACUUGGCCUUAUCAGCAUCUGAUUUUAGAUAUUCUAGAGAAUGCAUAGCAUUAUCACAUGUUUAAUUUGCAUUCUUCCGAUGGAUGAUGGAGUUGAGAAUAUUUGCAAAUAUGGAUUUAGUGUAAAAAUACAUAUUGUAUAGUAAAAAAAAGUCCACUCCUGCAACUUCGAGGUAAUGUACCUCAAUAGGCUAAUAUAAAUAUAAUAUUGGUCAUACAAACAAGCGCAGCUAGCAUCUCAAUAGAGAAAAGCUGAAAGGCUUUCCUCUAAGAUCAGAAAGGAUGUGUGUCCACUCCUGCAACUUCCACUCAACAUAGUUCAGGUAUACCUCUUUUUACUGCAUUUCAUCCUACUGUGUUUUGCAGAUAUCACAUUUUGUACAAACCGAACAUCUGUGGCAACCCUGCCUUGUCAGAUGAUGGUUAGCUCUUUUCAGCAGUAAAGUAUUUUUUAAUUGAGAUAUGCACAUUUUUAGACAAAAUUCUAUUGUGCACUUAAUAGACAGUAGAAUAGUGGAAACAUAACUUUUAUAUGCACUAGGGAACCAAACAUUCAUGUGACAUAUGUUAUUGAAUAUUUCCUAUAUUAUGGUGGUCUGGAACUGCAGCUGCAAUAUCGCCAAGGUAUGUUUGUACUCAAAAUCCUAGCCAGGGCAUUAAGGUAAUAAAAAAAAUGAAAGGUAUCCCAUCAAAAAGGAAGGCUUAAAAUUGUGUCUGUUUUCAGAUGACAUAAAAAUAUAUGUAGAAAUCCAUGGGGCUUUCAUAAGAACAUUGUUAGAGCUAAAAAAUAAAUAAAUUCAGUAGUUAUAGGAAACAAAAUCAGCAUAUAAAAUAAGUGGCAUUUCUGUAUCCUAAUGACAAACUAUCUAAAAGAGAAAUUAAGAAAGCACUGCCACUUAAAAUAGCCUCAAAAAGAAUAAAAUACUUAGGAAUAAAAUGAACCAAGAAUGUGAAAUAUCUGUACACUAAAGACUAUAAGGACACUGAUGAAAGUAUUUGAAAAAGACACACAUAAAAUAUAUAUCCCAUAUUCAUGGGUUGGAAGAAUUAAUUUGUUAAAAUGUCCAUAUAACCUAAAGUAAUCUACAGAUUCAAGGGAUUAUCUAUCUUAAUUCCAAUGGGAUUUUUUACAUAAAGAGAAAUCAUAGUCAUAACAUUUGUAUGGAACCACAAAGGACCUUGAAUAGUCAAAGCAAUCUCAAGAAAGAAGAAUAAAGCAGGAAACAUCAUGCUUCCUGAUUUAACACUACAUUCUAAAACUAUAGUAAUCAAAACUGUAUGAUACUGGCAUAUAAACAAAAGCGUAGACCAACAGCGCAUAACCUAGAACCCAGAAAUAAACCCAUAAAGAAGUUAAAUUUUUUUUGAUAAAGAUGUGAAAAAUACACAAGGGGCUCUUCAAUAAACAGCAUCGGGGAAAUGGGAUAACCACAUGCAGAAAAAUUGGACAUUGGAAAUCCAUCUUACAAAUCAACCCCAAAUGGAUUAAAGACUAAAAAAUAAGUUUUGGCAUCACAAGAAGAAGAUAGAGGAAAAGCUCUUUGACAUUGGUCUUGGUGGUAAUUUUUUGAAUUUGACACCAAAAGCAAAAAUACGUAAUGGGAUUACAUCAAACUAAAAAGUUUCUGUACAUCAAAGGAAACAAUCAGCACAAUGAAAAGGGAUACAAAAUUGGGAUACAAAAUUGCAACUCAUAUCCAAUAAGGGAUUAGUAUAGUGAAUACACAUAAAGAGCUCAAACAAUUCCAUAGCAAACCAAGCAUCCAAAAGGGAAAACAAUAAACAAAAACCAACCAAACAAAACACACUUUAUACUUAAAUUGGACAAAGUCCCUGAAUAAACAUUUCUCCAAGAAAGAUAUGAAAUGUGCAAGGAAUAUAUGAAAUGGUACUCAACAUCCUUGAUCAUCCAGAAAAGGAAGCACAAUAAGAGAUCACCUCACACCUGCUGUAAUGGCUAUCAUCACAAAGACAAACAAUAACAAAUGUGUGGGUAAGGAUAACAAAUGUGGGUGAGGAAACCUUUGUGUGCUAGAGGGAAGGUAAAGUGGUACAGUUCUUGUGGAAAACAGUAUUGGGGUACCUCAAAAAUUAAAAGUCAGGUAUCAGGACUUCUCAUCAUGGCUCAGUGGUAAGGAGCCCAACUAGCAUCCAUGAGGAUGUGGGAUUGACCCCUGGCCUCGCUCAAUGGGUUCAGGCUGUGCACGAGCUCUGUUGUAGGUCACAGACACAGCUUGGAUCUGGCAUUGUUGUGGUUGUGACAUAACUCAGAAGCUGCAGUUUUAAUUGGAUCCCUAUACUGGGAACUUCCAUAUGCCUUGGGUACAGGCCUAAAAAGCAAAAAACAAACAAAACAACAACCCCCUAUCAUAUGAUCCACCAAUCCCUUUUCUGUAUAUGCACUUAAAGGAAUUAAAAUCAGAAUCUCAAAGUAAUAUUUGCACUCUUAUGUUCACUGCUGCAUUAUGCACAAUAACCAAGAUACUGCAAAACCUAAGUGUACAACAGAUGAAUGUACAAAGAAAAUGUGGAUAGGUGUACAAUGAUAUAUUAUUCAGCAUUAAGAAUGAAUAAAAUCCGGAGUUCCCAUCAUGGCGCA